AGAGACCAUCUUUACUUUAGCCUUGGAAGAGAAUCUUGUUCGUGCAGAUAUCCUUGAUGACAAAUUUAUCAGGGAAAAAUUCAACAGAAACAUGAUUUUGGUUAGUAAGUGCAUGAAUAGAUAAAAGAUUAGGAGAAAUUGACGGAAAACAUAAAAUAUCAGUAAAAGAAAGAGACAAAGUAUCUGUAGUCAUGGAAGAGGA
rnacentral:misc_RNA from 1 species